rnacentral:rRNA from 1 species
AGAGUUUGAUCCUGGCUCAGAACGAACGCUGGCGGCAGGCUUAACACAUGCAAGUCGAACGGACGUAGCAAUACGUCAGUGGCGCACGGGUGAGUAACGCGUGGAUAUCUGCCUUUUGGUUCGGGAUAACCUUGGGAAACUAGGGCUAAUACCGAAUGGUUCCUACGGGAUAAAGAUUUAUCGCCAAAAGAUGAGUCCGCGUCCGAUUAGCUAGUUGGUGGGGUAACGGCCCACCAAGGCGACGAUCGGUAGCUGGUCUGAGAGGGCGACCGGCCACACUGGGACUGAGACACGGCCCAGACUCCUACGGGAGGCAGCAGUGGGGAAUAUUGCGCAAUGGGCGAAAGCCUGACGCAGCGACGCCGCGUGAGGGACGAAGGCCUUCGGGUUGUAAACCUCUUUCAGCAGGGACGAAGCGAAAGUGACUGUACCUGCAGAAGAAGCACCGGCUAACUACGUGCCAGCAGCCGCGGUAAUA